UACGGGGGGAGCAAGCGUUGUUCGGAUUUACUGGGCGUAAAGGGCGCGUAGGCGGCCAGUGCAAGUCAGUUGUGAAAUCUCCGAGCUUAACUCGGAAAGGUCAACUGAUACUGUGCGGCUAGAGUGCGGAAGGGGCAACUGGAAUUCUUGGUGUAGCGGUGAAAUGCGUAGAUAUCAAGAGGAACACCUGCGGCGAAGGCGGGUUGCUGGGCCGACACUGACGCUGAUGCGCGAAAGCCAGGGGAGCGAACGGG
rnacentral:rRNA from 1 species